rnacentral:rRNA from 1 species
UGAGGAAUAUUGGUCAAUGGGCGACAGCCUGAACCAGCCAUCCCGCGUGAAGGAAGAAAGCGCUAUGCGUUGUAAACUUCUUUUCCAGAGGGAUAAAAUGAUGUACGCGUACAUUACUGAAGGUGCUCUGGGAAUAAGCAUCGGCUAACUCCGUGCCAGCAGCCGCGGUAAUACGGAGGAUGCGAGCGUUAUCCGGAUUUGUUGGGUUUAAAGGGUGCGUAGGCGGGACAAUAAGUCAGUGGUGAAAACCUGCAGCUUAACUGUAGACUUGCCGUUGAUACUGUUGUUCUUGAGUAUGGUCAAGGCAGGCGGAAUGCGUAAUGUAGCGGUGAAAUGCUUAGAUAUUACACAGAACACCGAUAGCGAAGGCAGCUUGCUGGGCCGUUACUGACGCUGAGGGACGAAAGCGUGGGGAUCGAACAG